AGAAAAAAGUGUCCAAUGCGGGAAUCGAACCCGGGUCCUAGUGGUCGAAAACCAAACGGUUUAACCAGCCUUCCACCGAUCCCCUC
rnacentral:tRNA from 1 species